rfam:Neotoma lepida isolate 417 scaffold_287, whole genome shotgun sequence.
UGGCUCAGUGAUUAAGAGCACUGGCUGCUCUUCCAGAGGACCUGGGUUCAAUUCCCAG